CAGAUGGUGGUCAACUUUCUGCCUUUUAUUUUGAUAAUACGUGCGAGUAUCUCUGUGUGUGCAUGUAAAUAAUUACGUGAUGCAUCCCUGUGUGUACGUAUAUGUGUCUGUGUGCGCGCAUAAACAUGCAUCCGUGUGUGCGAGAGACAGAGGAAAAAUAACCCACCCUGCUGAUGCACACUCAGAUGAUUUGCUCCAUUUGCCCACUCCGAAUGCCCUUUAAAGACACGAUGCAUCUUCUCCUUGCUCCUUACCGAUCCCUGCGACUGUCAUCUUGUUUUAAUGACAACUUAGCUGGGGUGGGGGUGAGGAGGGAGCAAGUUUCAAGUUUUGGGAUCUCUCCUCUUGUUGGCGUUGUGGCGAGUUACAAUAUUGUAAAAUCAUGGUGUGCUGAUGAUGUGCCUUUAUUUGAUACUUUAUAGGUCACUAUCACAUGACAAAGGCUUUGGGACAGCUUCAUCUUCGUCUGUCUGUCAUUUCCAUUUGCUUUCCUGGGAGGUUCCCCCAGUUGCAAGAGCAGGAGUAGGACGUGCCCUUUCAAACCGGCUCACGCGUGAAAGCGGGCUCAGCGUGGCACCCACGGCAGCCCUUGCCCAGGCCAGGCGAAGCCGGGCUGUAGGCAGGAUGGUAGACUGCUGCACCGAAAACAUUUCUGUGCCAGCUCCGUGACUGGGGAAGGCUAAAGAGGUGAGUGCUGGUUUUACGUCCUGUAGGUUCAGGGAGUGGAUGAAGGAGGAACCAAGUGUCACAACCUACCCAGGCUC
rnacentral:lncRNA from 1 species